rnacentral:tRNA from 1 species
GUUUCUAUAGUGUUAUUUAGCACACUGGAUUUUCGUUCCAGAGGAAUAAAAUUUUAUUAGAAAUA